rnacentral:rRNA from 1 species
ACACGUAAACAACCUGCCUUCAGGAUGGGGACAACAGACGGAAACGACUGCUAAUACCGAAUAAGUUCCAAGAGCCGCAUGGCCCAUGGAAGAAAAGGUGGCCUCUACUUGUAAGCUAUCGCCUGAAGAGGGGUUUGCGUCUGAUUAGCUGGUUGGAGGGGUGACGGCCCACCAAGGCGACGAUCAGUAGCCGGUCUGAGAGGAUGAACGGCCACACUGGAACUGAGACACGGUCCAGACUCCUACGGGAGGCAGCAUG